rnacentral:rRNA from 1 species
ACUACGGGUGGCAGCAGUGGGGAAUAUUGCGCAAUGGGCGAAAGCCUGACGCAGCGACGCCGCGUGAGGGAUGAAGGUCUUCGGAUCGUAAACCUCUGUCAGCAGGGAAGAACGGUCACUGUGCUAAUCAGCAGUGAAUUGACGGUACCUGCACAGGAAGCACCGGCUAACUCCGUGCCAGCAGCCGCGGUAAUACGGAGGGUGCGAGCGUUAAUCGGAAAUACUGGGCGUAAAGCGCUCGUAGGCGGUAUGUCAAGUCAAGGGUGAAAUCCGCGCGCUCAACGUGGGAACUGCGUUUGAAACUGGCAAACUGGAGUGGGUGAGAGGAUAGUGGAAUUCCAGGUGUAGGAGUGAAAUCCGUAGAUAUCUGGAGGAACAUUAGUGGCGAAGGAGACUAUCUGGAACAUAACUGACGCUGAGGAGCGAAAGCGUGGGGAGCAAAAAGGAUUAGAUACCCCAGUAGUC